rnacentral:rRNA from 1 species
GAUCCGCAAGGUGUUGGACCGGGGAAUUCAGCCCGCGCCCCCGCGGCGCGGGUGCACUUUCUCCGGGACGAGAGCCACGACCAUGUCCGCGGCUGCUCGAGGUGGUGCGAAGGUUUCCAGGCGCAGGGAGCUUACAGAGCACCGUCCUGCGAGUCUGUACGUCGCGGGCCCGAGGACGCUGGCCGCGCGCCCACUGCGCCGGGUCGUCUUCGCGCGUUUGACUGCGGCGCCACUGCUGUUCUCGGUAGAGUGUCGCGACCGCGGGCGUCGACUCUGGCCCGGUGGCCCGGGUGUGAUGAGGGUUGGUGGCGAAUCAGUCGGCACUCCACCCAACCCGUCUUGAAACACGGACCAAGGAGUCUAACAUGUGCGCGAGUCAUGGGGACCGUCGAAUCCCGAUGGCGCAAUGAAAGUGAAGGCCGCCCUCGGCUGGCCGAUGCAGGAUCCCGUCGGCCCUGCCCGUCUCGAUAGCGGUGCGGUCGUUCGCGACCGCAUUCGUCUACAAGGCGGAGCAAGAGCGUACACGUUGGUACCCAAAAGAUGGUGAACUAUGCCUAAGCAGAACGAAGUCAGAGGAAACUCUGAUGGAGGUCCGCAGAGAUUCUGACGUGCAAAUCGAUCGUCAAACUUGGGUAUAGGAGGAAAGACUA